GCCAGGUGUGGUGGCUCACGCCUGUAAUCCAAGCACUUUGGGAGGCUGAGGUGGGUGGAUCACCUGAGGUCAGGAGUUCAAGACCAGCCUGGCCAACAUGGUGAAACCCCAUCUCAA
rnacentral:SRP_RNA from 1 species